UAUUCCAUGUAUGUAGUAAUAAAAUAUUAUAGCAAAGCAACACGUUCAUUCUAUCUAGAGUGCAAAACAAAAACGAUAACCAUUACCAACGUUAUGCCCUUGUGGGUCAACAGCAAAACAUCAAUGUAGUGUCACUAACACUGAACUAUAGCAACCAUUACAGCAACUGUUCAUAUAACGGUGUCUAAGAAGACCCACAAUGCACCGAGGGUUGCCUCAAAUAUAUUGACCAAACGAGCGCAAACUACCAAUUCAAACCUUAUGCUAAUUGUCUAGUGUGUGUUUGUAUUAUAUAUAAAGCACUAACUACACGCUUAAACAAAAGAAACAGAUUAAACAAAACUCACCUAUGUGCAGCGAAAAAUGUCACGAAUUCAAUACAAUCGAUUCAAUCGAAUUUAUUCAAAGGUAAAAAAAAACAAUUACUUAACAAAAACUAUUUAUUCAAAAAACAAUUUUGUAAUUAAUGUUAGAUUGAAAA